GCAAGAGGGUAACAAUGGCGGUGGUUACGUUUACCCUGAAGAACCGGACAAGUGUAUUGCGUCAAUAAGCACGGGCCUUUCUUCAGAGUCAACGAAUUCAUCGUCUGUACACACGACAUGUUA
rnacentral:precursor_RNA from 10 species